UAGUGUAAUGAUGUUUUACCAUCUUUCGGGGCAUACAAAUACUGAUGAUACCUUUAUAUUACUGAACACUA
rnacentral:snoRNA from 1 species